rnacentral:rRNA from 1 species
CUGGCGGCGUGCCUAAUACAUGCAAGUCGAGCGGACCAACGGGAGCUUGCUCCCUUAGGUCAGCGGCGGACGGGUGAGUAACACGUGGGUAACCUGCCUGUAAGACUGGGAUAACUCCGGGAAACCGGGGCUAAUACCGGAUGCUUGAUUGAACCGCAUGGUUCAAUCAUAAAAGGUGGCUUUCAGCUACCACUUACAGAUGGACCCGCGGCGCAUUAGCUAGUUGGUGAGGUAACGGCUCACCAAGGCGACGAUGCGUAGCCGACCUGAGAGGGUGAUCGGCCACACUGGGACUGAGACACGGCCCAGACUCCUACGGGAGGCAGCAGUAGGGAAUCUUCCGCAAUGGACGAAAGUCUGACGGAGCAACGCCGCGUGAGUGAUGAAGGUUUUCGGAUCGUAAAACUCUGUUGUUAGGGAAGAACAAGUACCGUUCGAAUAGGGCGGCACCUUGACGGUACCUAACCAGAAAGCCACGGCUAACUACGUGCCAGCAGCCGCGGUAAUACGUAGGUGGCAAGCGUUGUCCGGAAUUAUUGGGCGUAAAGCGCGCGCAGGCGGUUUCUUAAGUCGUGAUGUGAAAGCCCCCGGCUCAACCGGGGAGGGUCAUUGGAAACUGGGGGAACUUGAGUGCAGAAGAGGAGAGUGGAAUUCCACGUGUAGCGGUGAAAUGCGUAGAGAUGUGGAGGAACACCAGU